UACAGAGACCUCAAACGUUGUCCGGAUUUAUUGGGCGUAAAGAGCGUGUAGGCGGCCAGGUAGGUCUGCUGUGAAAACUCGAGGCUCAACCUCGAGAUGUCGGCGGAAACCAUCUGGCUAGAGUCCGGAAGAGGAGAAUGGAAUUCCCGGUGUAGCGGUGAAAUGCGCAGAUAUCGGGAAGAACACCCGUGGCGAAGGCGGUUCUCUGGGACGGUACUGACGCUGAGACGCGAAAGCGUGGGGAGCGAACAGG
rnacentral:rRNA from 1 species